UGCAGUCGAGGGGUAUAGUAGCAAUACUAGAGACCGGCGCACGGGUGCGUAACGCGUAUGCAAUCUACCUUAUACAGAGGGAUAGCCCAGAGAAAUUUGGAUUAAUACCUCAUAGCAUAGCAACUUCGCAUGAAGUCACUAUUAAAGUUCCAACGGUAUAAGAUGAGCAUGCGUCCUAUUAGCUAGAUGGUAAGGUAACGGCUUACCAUGGCUACGAUAGGUAGGGGUCCUGAGAGGGAGAUCCCCCACACUGGUACUGAGACACGGACCAGACUCCUACGGGAGGCAGCAGUGAGGAAUAUUGGACAAUGGGCGCAAGCCUGAUCCAGCCAUGCCGCGUGCAGGAAGACGCAUCUAUGGUGUGUAAACUGCUUUUGUACGGGAAGAAACACUCCCUCGUGAGGGAGCUUGACGGUACCGUAAGAAUAAGGAUCGGCUAACUCCGUGCCAGCAGCCGCGGUAAUACGGAGGAUCCAAGCGUUAUCCGGAAUCAUUGGGUUUAAAGGGUCCGUAGGCGGUUUGGUAAGUCAGUGGUGAAAGCCCAUCGCUUAACGAUGGAACGGCCAUUGAUACUGCCAGACUUGAAUUACUGGGAAGUAACUAGAAUAUGUAGUGUAGCGGUGAAAUGCUUAGAUAUUACAUGGAAUACCAAUUGCGAAGGCAGGUUACUACCGGUGGAUU
rnacentral:rRNA from 1 species